GUGCUUGCUUUGGCAGCACACAUACUAAAAUUGGAAUGAUACAGAGAAGAUAGCGUGGCCCCUGUGCACGGAUGAUAUGCAAAUUUGUGAAACGUUUCAUAUUUUA